AUGGCGUACCAUAAAAAAUGGAGGAGGCAAAAUGCUGAAUUGCUUGCAAUGGCACGGUCAAGUAGUGACUCAGAGGAUCAUUCUUCUGUUUCUGCUCGGGCUGGUGAUUGUGCAACCAUCAAUUCUGAGAACAUUCUGAGAGAAGAUUGUGCAGGAACUACAACGGACAGUUAUCUUGAAAAUCUUGAUCUGGAUGACCAGUGGUACAAUAUUUACAGUGAAAGUGAUGACACUGAAACAGGCUCCUCUUCAGAUGAAAUCAGUGAAUUAAGGAGUGAUUUGGCAAAAUGGGCAGUUCGGAACAGAACAACACGGACAUCUGUAGAUGAGCUCCUUUCUGUGUUAAGGAAACACGGACAUCGGCUGCCUAAGGAUGCCAGAACACUCUUGGGAACGCCCCGCCAUGUAGAUGCACAGGAUUUGUGUGGUGGUCAAUAUCUAUAUUUCGGUCUUGAGUCUGGGCUUUUGAAAAUAUGUUCACAGUACCCAGAGAAAAUCAUGUCCAGAGAAAAUCAUCUACUUCUCAAUUUUAGCAUUGAUGGUUUGCCAUUGUUCAAGUCAUCAAAUGUCCAGAUUUGGCCUAUUCUGUGUAGUAUGAAGAGGUUUCAGCCAUUUGUUGUAGCCGUAUUUUGUGGCAAAGAAAAACCAAAUUCUGUGAGUGAUUUCAUGUCGGAAUUUCUUGAAGAGCUCACUAGGCUUCAGCAUAAUGGAAUUUCAUUCAAAGGCGAAACCUUGAAUGUUAAGGUCAACGCUUUCAUCUGUGAUGCUCCAGCGAGAGCUUUUUUAAAGUGCAUAAAGGGGCACAAUGCAUACAACAGUUGUGAGCGAUGCACUAUUGAAGGACAAUACAUGAACCACAGGGUUGUGUUUAAUUACCAACCACAAGAGAAGAUUUUGUUGAGAACAGAAGAGGAAUUCAGUAGUUUGUCCUACCCUUUCCACCAAAAUGGACUCUCACCCCUUGCAGAUGCAGGCUUGUCAUGCAUACAAUCAUUUGUCUUGGACUACAUGCAUCUGGUCUGUCUAGGGGUGGUUAGACGCUUACUCGUCUUCUUGAAACAGGGUCCCAGAGAGUGCAAAAUUUCACAGAGGCAAAUUGGUGAAAUUUCAUCCAAGCUUGAGUCUCUCAAUGGAAAACUCCCAAGGGAAUUUGCCCGACAGCCACGGUCUCUUGCCUCUCUAGAAAGAUGGAAAGCAACUGAAUUCCGCCAGUUCUUACUCUACACUGGACCAGUUGUUCUUCGUGAUGUGUUGCCUGACAGCUUCUACCACCACUUCCUAACACUGACCGUUGCCAUGUCCAUACUGUUGGAUGCUGAUGAUGACACGAGGAAGGCAUAUACAGCCUAUGCUGAAGAGCUGCUGAUGCACUUUUAUAAAACAUCUACUAAGCUUUACAGCCCUGUCUUUCCUUCGUACAAUGUCCAUUCUCUUAUCCACUUGGCACAAGACGUUAGAAAUUUUGGAACGUCUUUAAAUGAGAUCUGUGCGUUUCCAUUUGAAAACCAUUUGCACAAACUAAAAAAGAGUGUCAGGAAUGCAACAAAUCCUAUUUCACAGCUUUCCAAGAGAAUCACUGAGAUGGAUAAUGCCAAAGUUCACACUAUACCAGCACCCCACCGGACAUUUGUGUCUACAAAAAUGAAGGACUCCUGUUUUAUGGUUGGAGAAGGCUUUGCCUUUGUCAAGGAAAAAAGAACCGAUAAGAUGUGUGUGUGUGAUGUGUACCACCUUGACAGUUUAGAGAGUUUCUUUGACAGUCCAUGUGAUUCCAAGUUUAUAAACAUAGCCCGUCUAAGGGAUGAAAGAAGACCGGGAAAAAGAAAGCUCAUUGAGCAGAAGGAACUGAGGAAGAAAGUGGUUUGUCUUCCCUAUGGGAAUGGAUUUGUUCUUAUACCGAUGCUCCAUGGCAGUGAAAAACACUAA
ensembl:lncRNA